rnacentral:misc_RNA from 1 species
AAGUCGUAACAAGGUUUCCGUAGGUGAACCUGCGGAAGGAUCAUUAUCACGUAUCCACGUAUAAACCAUCGUGAACCCUAACCUUUGGGGGAGGAUUGCAACAGUGGAGGAGAAGGCAUACGAACUGUUUCUUGUGAUUUAGAGUUCGCUUUUUCUUUCCGAGCGCCAUCUUUUUGGAACUCGUUGCCCUUUCCUGGAGCGUAUUUCUUAAAUCGCUAUUUAUUAACAAUUUGAACAACAUUUUAAACUACGAACUGAUCUAUUUCUUACUCUUCGGAGAAGAAAUUCAUUACGAAACAAAGAACAACUCUUAGCAACGGAUAUCUUGGUUCUC